rnacentral:rRNA from 1 species
GACAGAGGGUGCAAACGUUGUUCGGAAUUACUGGGCGUAAAGCGUGCGUAGACGGUUACAUAAGUCGGGUGUGAAAGCCCCGGGCUCAACCUGGGAAUUGCAUUCGAGACUGCGUAGCUAGGGUGCGGAAGAGGGAAGCGGAAUUUCCGGUGUAGCGGUGAAAUGCGUAGAUAUCGGAAGGAACACCAGUGGCGAAAGCGGCUUCCUGGUCCAGCACCGACGUUCAGGCACGAAAGCGUGGGGAGCAAACAGG